rnacentral:rRNA from 1 species
AACGAACGCUGGCGGCAUGCCUAACACAUGCAAGUCGAACGAGACCUUCGGGUCUAGUGGCGCACGGGUGCGUAACGCGUGGGAACCUGCCCUUAGGUUCGGAAUAACUCCCCGAAAGGGGUGCUAAUACCGGAUAAUGUCUUCGGACCAAAGAUUUAUCGCCUUUGGAUGGGCCCGCGUGUGAUUCGCUAGUUGGUAGGGUAAAAGCCUAUCAAGGCGACGAUCCAUAGCUGGUCUGAGAGGAUGAUCAGCCACACUGGGACUGAGACACGACCCAGACUACUACGGGAGGCAGCAGUGGGGAAUAUUGGACAAUGGGCGGAAGCCUGAUCCAGCAAUGCGGCGUGAGUAAUGAAGUCCUUAGGGUUGUAAAGCUCUUUUACCCGUGAUGAUAAUGACAGUACCGGGGGAAUAAGCUCCGGCUAACUCCGUG